rnacentral:rRNA from 1 species
UACGUAGGGUGCAAGCGUUGUCCGGAAUUAUUGGGCGUAAAGAGCUCGUAGGCGGUUUGUCGCGUCUGCUGUGAAAACUCGGGGCUUAACUCCGGGCCUGCAGUGGGUACGGGCAGACUAGAGUGCGGUAGGGGAGACUGGAAUUCCUGGUGUAGCGGUGAAAUGCGCAGAUAUCAGGAGGAACACCGGUGGCGAAGGCGGAUCUCUGGGCCGUAACUGACGCUGAGGAGCGAAAGCAUGGGUAGCGAACAGG